UACAGAGGGGGCAAGCGUUAUUCGGAAUUAUUGGGCGUAAAGGGCGCGUAGGCGGCCCUUCAAGUGGUAGGUGAAAUCCCUCGGCUCAACCGAGGAGCUGCCCGCCAAACUGAAGAGCUUGAGUCCGGGAGAGGUGAGUGGAAUUCCCAGUGUAGCGGUGAAAUGCGUAGAUAUUGGGAGGAACACCAGUGGCGAAGGCGGCUCACUGGACCGGAACUGACGCUGAGGCGCGAAAGCGUGGGGAGCAAACGGG
rnacentral:rRNA from 2 species